rnacentral:rRNA from 1 species
UGCGUAGGGUGCGAGCGUUGUCCGGAAUUAUUGGGCGUAAAGAGCUCGUAGGCGGCCUGUCGCGUCGGAUGUGAAAGCCCGGGGCUUAACCCCGGGUCUGCAUUCGAUACGGGCAGGCUAGAGUGUGGUAGGGGAGAUCGGAAUUCCUGGUGUAGCGGUGAAAUGCGCAGAUAUCAGGAGGAACACCGGUGGCGAAGGCGGAUCUCUGGGCCAUUACUGACGCUGAGGAGCGAAAGCGUGGGGAGCGAACAGG